GUUAUAUCAGCGGUAAACGAAGCAUUCUCAUAUAAUACAAGGUGCUUUAUAUUUCGGGCAGUCCUCGCUGAAUCGUCCAGAAACCACCAAUGUCGUUGUGAGACGGAAGCGCCCGUACAGAAUUCGUCAUCGUUCAUUUCUUUUUUUUCCAAGAUGCGUGUCCCGAUUCUGCUUGUGUUUUUCCCGUGCUUGAUAUUCGUGAAAGCACAAGUACCACCACCUAAUGUGCACCUGGAGAAGAUUUCAACUUUGUACGUUCCGUCGCGGUACAAUUCUCACGAUUACCCGGAAUUCAAGCUUGGAAGGCAUGCCGCAGAACAGCUUGCUUACGACCCUGCACAAAAAAUCUUAUACGUGACAGGCGAAGAAAGGCUGAAUGUGGUUGAUCUUUCCAACCCAUCGGAUCCGAUAAUGCUGUACCGGAAACAGUUUGUCAAAAUGGAUCCGACAGAUGUAGAAUACUGCGGAAAUCACGUGUUUGUUUCUGUUGCUAACGACGAGAAACCGGAAGAUGGAAAAGUAUUGGUGUUCCGGAAGUACAACAGACGACAUAACACGAUGCCCAUUGUGCUCGAGGUUGUCGUUGGUCCCUCUCCAAAUAUGCUGCUCCCAACCAUUAAUUGUCAGAAGGUACUCGUGGCCCUAGAGGGGGAGGCAUUCGCCAGGGGCGGGAAUCUGAUUGACCCAGAGGGCGCCAUUGGUCUCCUCAAAUUCCCUUCCAGUUACAUAUCCGACACAACGUACAGCUACAAAGUGUUGGAUUUCCGCAGCUUUAACGACAAAUACCCAAUACUAGCAAGAAGCGGCGUGCGCUAUGUUUACAAAGAAAAUGGAAACACCCUGGCGCAGGAUUUAGAACCAGAACACAUUACAUUCAGUGCCGAUGAAAAGAAGGCUUACAUCAGUUUGCAGGAAAAUAAUGCAAUUGCUGAAGUCGACAUGGUAUUAGAAACUAUCACCGAUCUUCGCGGACUUGGAUUCAAAGAUUGGACAAAAUACAAACUGGACCCCAGUGACGAAGAUGGAGGUAUCAAUAUCUACCCCUAUCCUAUAUACGGUAUGUACCAACCUGACGCCAUUCGAACGGUAACGAUUGGUGGGAGGGAGUAUAUUGUAACAGCCGACGAGGGCGACAGCAAGGACUACUCAGGACUGAAACUGACGACUUCCGGAUUUGAUGAGACUAAGCGGGUCAGGGAUAUCACGCUCGCUAACAAUUCUGAAGUACUCCAAUGGGCCAGAAAGCGAAAGAUACCAAGCAUUCAACAUGAUGCUUUGUUAGGCAAACUCUCCGUUUCAACACAAGAAGGACGUCUUAGAGAUGGCACGUAUGACAAACUGUAUUCUUAUGGGGGGCGUGGCUUUUCUGUCCUACGAUCUGACACAAUGGAGCGUAUUUACGACAGCGGAUCGAUCGUGGAAGAAUCCCAUGCGAUGCAAUAUCCCAAAUUGUUUAACUCCUAUGCCAAAUCAUCUGUAAAUAUUACAGACACACAGGACAGUCGCUCUGACAGCAAGGGACCAGAGUGCGAAAGUUUAGCUGUAGCCUAUUCCGGAACAAGAGUAAUUGUAUUUGUCGGCUGCGAACGGCCUGGCACCAUUAGUAUCUACUCCUUCAACAGUAACAUGACUGAGGGGACAUUGGAAAGCAUAUACAGUGGCGCCAAGACCGUCCUCGGGACGUGGGGCGAAGCAUUUGAUGGUGGAUUACUGACGGAUAUGGAUACGGAUGAUAUUAAAUACCUCCCUCCAUUCCAAAGCCCGACGGGUCAGCCAUUGUUGGUGGUUACUGGAUCAGAUACCGGGACAGUGUCGCUCUUCCACGUGCGUGGAUUGGACAAUCCUUUACCAAAUCCACGAGUCAAUUCUAGGGUUCCAGUCAAACCUCUUCAAAGCUCACCUCUCCCAGAAUCAACCCCUAAAUCUUCAACAAAAACCAGUUCAGCAAGCCCCAGUAAAAGUCGUCAAGGAAAGAAACUUCGUGGCAGAAAACAAAACAAAACAAGAAACAACAAGGACAUUAAGUUUAUUCUGUUCAUAGCUUACGUUGGAUGUAAAGCUAUCAAUCUGAAAAAGAUUUCCACUUUGUACGUUCCAUCCUCCUACUCGGACACAGGGACACCCCUGUUCUCUCCAAAAGCUAAGUCAUCCGAACAGUUGGCUUAUGACACACAGAGUAAAUUUGUCUACGUCGUUGGAUCAUCAAAACUAAACGUCAUAGACAUAAACGAUGUUGAAAACCCUCAAAUAAUCUACCAUAAAAUGAUGGGCGACUUUGAUCCGACUGAUGUGGAGUUCUGUGGAGAUCACGUCUUUGUCACACUGGACGAUAAUCAAGAAAGAGAAAGGGGCCGGGUUGUUGUGUUCACAAAGUUUGACCCUAAAAAGAAAACAAUGGAUACUGUUCUUAAUGUCACAGUUGGACCUCUUCCGGAUAUGGUUCAGCCUUCGUCAGACUGUAGAACUGUGUUGAUAGCCUUAGAGGGAAAAGCAUUUGCAAGGAAUGGUGAAUUGGUCGACCCAGAGGGAGGAGUCGGGCUGCUGAAGUUCCAUGAUUUAUCAAUAUCUGCCGCCAAUUACUCCUAUAAAAGGCUAGAUUUCACCCGUUAUAACGACAGGUGGAACAGCUUGUCGAAGACUGGCGUUCGUUUCAUUUAUAAAGAACAAAACAACAAAUUUUCUCAAGAUUUAGAGCCAGAAUAUAUAUCAUUUAGCAAAGAUGAAAGGAAGGCUUAUAUUUGUCUUCAGGAAAAUAAUGCCAUAGCCGUGGUAGACUUGGGAACAGAAAACAUUACGGCUAUACAUGGACUUGGUUUCAAGAACUGGAGGAAUUCUAAGUUAGAUGCUAGCGAUAAAGACGGAGGGAUAAAUAUCAGACCGCUUCCUGUGUAUGGUAUGUACCAACCUGAUGCAAUCCAGGUAAUAAAAGUGAACGGUGAGGAAUACCUUGUUACAUCCAACGAAGGAGGUGGCAAAGACUACUCUGACUAUAAACUAAACGCUACUGGCUUCUCUGAGGAAAUCCGGGCCAGAGAUGUUUCUAUAUCAGAAAACUCAGAAAUUAAUCAAUGGAUGCUGCAGAACAACAUUAGUAACAUACUGGAUAAUUCAGUAUUAGGAAGGUUAGUGAUAACAACAGAAACCGGAAGGUUACCCGAUGGGUCUUUUGACAAAUUAUACACGUUUGGAGGGAGAGGAUUUUCUAUUUGGAAAGCAGACACAAUGGCCUUAGUGUAUGACAGUGGAAGUGACGUAGAAGAUACCCAUGCACAGGCAAGACCGGACCUUUUUAACGCACAAUUAAAAGCCGGCAAAAAAAUUAAGAACACAAUCGAUUACCGUUCUGACAACAAGGGUCCUGAAAGCGAGAGUCUUGCUAUCGGUCAUGAUGGAGAUAAAAUCCUCAUUUUCGUUGGACACGAACGUCCAGGAUCUAUAAGUGUGUACUCCGUAAAUGGUGACAUCUCAUCUCCUAAGUUCGAAAGUGUGUUUUGGGAUAUUCCAAACUCAGAACAAACCUGGACCGAAGCUUUUGAACAGAGAAGCAUAAGUGUUAUAGACCCAGAAGAUUUAAAGUACAUAUCAGCGAAGGAAAGUCCAAAUGGUCGCCCUCUUCUAUUGGUAGCAGGUUCCGUUAGUGGAACUCUGUCGAUUCUGGAGGUCAUAGGAUUCAACAUGGUAUCAGCUACUGGGGCUGUAUGAUAAGAGGACUAAAUAAGUCCACAAAAGAUGUGGAUAUAUAUUGGAUAGCGGUCAUUCAGCUCGGCAUAGUAUGGGAUGAUAGCUUUCUAAAGUCCUAGUGAUGUAGAAAUACUACGUUCUAUUAAAUAUUAUUAUGUGUAUUUAUCUAAAUUUAACAUGGUUUUAACAUUAUGAUUUCUGUAUACGCCUUUCAAUUCAAUGUAAGAGAACAGAAAAUAAAAUCAAAGAACGUAUUUU
rnacentral:misc_RNA from 1 species